GCCUUUGUGGCUUAACUGCCAGAGCUUCCUCUCAUCCUAGCUUCAAAAUUUUAAGAGGAAGCCCUGAGUUCGACUCCCAUCGAGGGCG